rnacentral:rRNA from 1 species
GAUGAACGCUGGCGGCGUGCCUAAUACAUGCAAGUCGAGCGAACAGACGAGGAGCUUGCUCCUCUGACGUUAGCGGCGGACGGGUGAGUAACACGUGGAUAACCUACCUAUAAGACUGGGAUAACUUCGGGAAACCGGAGCUAAUACCGGAUAAUAUAUUGAACCGCAUGGUUCAAUAGUGAAAGACGGUUUUGCUGUCACUUAUAGAUGGAUCCGCGCCGCAUUAGCUAGUUGGUAAGGUAACGGCUUACCAAGGCAACGAUGCGUAGCCGACCUGAGAGGGUGAUGGCCAACACGGGAACGGAGACACGGCCCAGCCUCCUGCGGGAGGCAGCAGUAGGGACUCUGCCGCAAGGGGCGAAAGCUUGACGGAGCACCGCCGCGUGAGUGAUGAAGGUCUCAGGACCGAAAAACUGUUUUAUUAGGGAAAAACAAAUGUGUAAGUAACUAUGCACGUCUUGACGGUCCCUAAUCAGAAAGCCACGGCUAACUACGUG